rnacentral:rRNA from 1 species
UACGUAGGGGGCAAGCGUUGUCCGGAAUCAUUGGGCGUAAAGCGCGUGUAGGCGGCCAGAAAAGUCCGCUGUGAAAACUCGAGGCUCAACUUCGAGCUGUCGGUGGAAACUUUCUGGCUAGAGUCCGGAAGAGGAGAAUGGAAUUCCCGGUGUAGCGGUGAAAUGCGCAGAUAUCGGGAAGAACACCCGUGGCGAAGGCGGUUCUCUGGGACGGUACUGACGCUGAGACGCGAAAGCGUGGGGAGCGAACAGG